rnacentral:rRNA from 1 species
GACAGAGGGUGCAAACGUUGUUCGGAAUUACUGGGCAUAAAGAGCACAUAGGUGGUGCGCUAAGUCACGUGUGAAAUCCCCCGGCUCAACCGGGGAAUGGCGCGUGAUACUGGCGGACUCGAGGCGGGUAGGGGUGAGCGGAACUCCAGGUGGAGCGGUGAAAUGCGUAGAUAUCUGGAGGAACACCGGUGGCGAAAGCGGCUCACUGGACCUGAUCUGACACUGAGGUGCGAAAGCUAGGGGAGCAAACGGG